rnacentral:pre_miRNA from 1 species
UUUUAAGUAUAAAUAUGUCCCAUGCAAUAGUUGGGGCAUACUCAUGCUAAAA